GAUGAACGCUGGCGGCGUGCUUAACACAUGCAAGUCGAACGAGAAAUGUAGACGGAAACCUUCGGGCGGAAGCCUUCAUUUCGAGUGGCGGACGGGUGAGUAACGCGUGGGUAACCUGCCUCAUACAGGGGGAUAACAGUUGGAAACGACUGUUAAUACCGCAUAAGACCACAGCAUCGCAUGAUGCGGGGGUAAAAACUCCGGUGGUAUGAGAUGGACCCGCGUUCGAUUAGCCAGUUGGCGGGGUAACGGCCCACCAAAGCGACGAUCGAUAGCCGAUCUGAGAGGAUGACCGGCCACAUUGGGACUGAGACAUGGCCCAAACUCCUACGGGAGGCAGCAGUGGGGAAUAUUGCACAAUGGGGGAAACCCUGAUGCAGCGACGCCGCGUGAGUGAAGAAGUACUUCGGUAUGUAAAGCUCUAUCAGCAGGGAAGAAAAUGACGGUACCUGAGGAAGAAGCCCCGGCUAACUACGUG
rnacentral:rRNA from 1 species